rnacentral:lncRNA from 1 species
GAUAUAAAUAAAUAACUACAAACACAAUCUUUUUUAAUUAAAGCUAUUUAUUAUUUGCAGAGCUGUAGCUCGCGGGGCCUCAUUGUUCGGGAACACCGUGUAACAAAAGAAAAGCCAUGCACUGAGGAGCUGCUAUGUCUGCAAGGGAUCUCUUCAAAACACAAACCAAACAAAAUUGAACAAACGCAACAAUUUACUCUGCAGCCAACAAUGGCCGCUGCCAAAGUCUUGUACCUGCCAGCAUUCAACAGGAUCUCCCUGUGCCCUCCUGCCACCAUGAGAAAAGAGCUUCAGCACACUUUGCUUUCCAGGCUUCGCAUUUACAGACUCUCCAGCUGGCUCCUGAAGGAGGUUCAUGAACUCUGCUGCACACAGCGAGUCGCUUCUUGCCUACACAUAGUUUUAAUUGUAGUAUUUAGCAAUUGGUUUAGUUUCUUAAUUGCAAGGUAUAACAUCUCUGCAAAAAAUAUCAUAAAUGAUGAUAACUCUGAGUAUUUUUCAUAUCUCUAUCUCAGUAUUUGAAUCUUGGUUAUGCUUUACCCUCCCCUGUUUUUGGGACGGUGUAUUCCUCAUUUUAAUUCUGUGCUUUCCAGAGAAGCACUACUUAAUUUCUUUGGGUAUUGCCUGUGUUUUAUUGCAGUGGCAGUAGAGUCCAGGACAGGAUGAAGGAAGGGCCCCAUCCAGGUUUUUCAGAACAUACAAUACUGUAUAUGCUUCCAUCAAAUCCCAGACUAUCUUUCACUUUUCUAAUGUUAGCAAUUCCAGUCUUUAUGAACUUGCUUGACAGGAGAAGCUGCUAUUUGACUAAUCCUACUCCUCCCCAUCCUCAUCCCAUUCACCUGGCUCUUGGCUGCCCCUGGCCAGGAGGUUUACUCCGAGAUCUCUGUCUUACACUCUCUUUCCUCCAAUUCAAAUGGUUGUCAGGACCUUUUCUGGUAUAAGACUAGGUUACAUUUUGCUUCUCAAAAAGGUGCUUUUUCUGUUUUACAUUUGGCUUUUAUUCUUGCAUUUUGUGUUUGCCUGACCUCAUAAUCCAUCCUGGCCUGCAUGAAGCCCUAAAUAACCAUAUCACCUGUUAGUGUUAGUCUUACAGUAUGUUUAUUAAGCAGUACACUGUUUCAAGGCUCUUGUUGAUGGCUGCUGCACAGAGAAUUUAUUGCUUAAUCCUAUCGCUUGUUUUCCAGACUUUUUCUGAUUGUUUCCAUUCUUUACCUUUCUCUCUGUGAGUAUGUAAUGUUUAUAUAUGACUCCUUGAAAGACCUUGCAGGCUGUGUCACAGCUGUGUCGGGGCAGGAACUCAGUGAGCUUCAGAAGGAAACUUUCUAAUCCCACCGACUGGGUCACCAAUAGUAAGUGUUGUCUUCAGAAGGGAUGGAAAUCUAGCAGUUGCAGUUUCAGACUCGCCCACCUGUCAGCUGAAAAAUAUCUACAGAAGCUUGCUAAAAAUAUCUGUCAAAAGUUUAAUUUAUGACAAAGUAAAAUGCUGUGUGAAACAUAUUGAACCCCGAUUUUGAAGCCUGUUUGAAAAACUUUUUAACCUGAAGCUGGCUUUACCUGAUGUUUAUCUGCCAUAUCAUAGAAUCAUAGAAUGUCUUGGGUUGGAACGGAUCAAAAAUCAUCCGGUUCUAACCCCCUCACCACUCGUUCUUGCUGCUCUACCACUGCUACCACAGCCUCUCUUCUAUAUUUUUUUGGUGCAGUGCUGUCUUUAUUGUUAACGCAGACAAAUUUCAAAAUCAGAUUCCACUCUUCUCCAUUAUUACUUUUAUUACAAAUAUUUGUGAAUUUUUUGUCCAUUUUAAAAUUUGGGAUAUGCCACGGCACAAUCUCAUGAGGUUUGUAGUUCUGUAGCCUCAGUAUUUUGUCAUGUGGGUAACAUUAAUCAGGAUGACUUGGUCUUUGAGGCAACAUGACAACCAUCCUCAAUCUAAGUAUUUUCAUUAGUUCUUCUUUUCUGUGCAUGAAAGGACUGAAGAGACUUGCAGUAGGGAGGGAAAGGGAGAGAAAGCUUUGUACUUUCCUUUUUCUUUCUUUCUUUUUUUUUUUUAACCAACAUCUAGUUGAACUUUCGAAUACUGCUAAAAUCUUAUGUACUCUCCAAGGCCUUGUUCUGUGUAUUAUAAUCUGUAAUCAUCUGUGUUACAGUUUUCACAGAAGUGCUAAAACCAUUUUACCACCACUUUGCUGGCAAUAACAUUUUAGAGUCUUUCAAAGAAUGAAACUUUUCAUGAACUACAAAUAGAAGACAUUUGUGAGGCUUUUAUGAAAACUUGGCAUUUAACUGACUAUGUUAAGUCCAAGAGUAAUUUUCAGAUCUGCAGUAUAUAAAAUUGGUCCUCAAACUCCUUGUAAAUAGCAGCACAAAGUAGGACUCUGAAAAGUCAGUUGUCUGUGUCAUAAUUAAUAGGAGAUAAACUAAGUGUCAGAAAACACAUUUGCAGAGGAAAAAAUGUCUCCAUACUUUUAUCUUUCAUAUUGUACACAAAAUUGAAAAUUGCUCUCAUUAAGAAUUCAUGCAUUUAGUAAUAUUAUUACUUUUAUAGAGAUAUCCACUCUAAAAAAAAGAACCUAAACUCAGAAGAAAUGUGACUCCAUGGGGAAAAAAGGCACAUCAUUUUACUGGUUUUCUAUACCAAAUUUUCAAGAUCAAAUUCUGCAGAAGAGAAAAGGAAAGGAAGGUACAAACUUAUUCAAACAGAAAUGGUGUAAAAUGGAAAUUUCACAUUCUUUUUUUUUUUCCAUUUCCUCACAGGGAGAUCAGCACAAUCAGACCUUACAGAAUAGCGAUGUAGAUAUUAUUAUUAUUUUCAAACUGGCUUUAAUUUUCAGAGUACAUCUUCAUCUGGAGCUUUCAAUGUUUUUCAAUUCUCUCCACUUUCCCCUCUUCUUUAAAAUACAA